rnacentral:rRNA from 1 species
CUAGCCGUAAACGAUGGAUACUAGGCGUUGAGAGGAUCGACCCUCGCAGUGCCGUAGCUAACGCGUUAAGUAUCCCGCCUGGGGAGUACGCGCGCAAGCGUGAAACUCAAAGGAAUUGACGGGGGCCCGCACAAGCGGUGGAGUAUGUGGUUUAAUUCGAUGCAACGCGAAGAACCUUACCAGGGCUUGACAUGUCCGGAACCCUGCCCAAAGGUGGGGGUGCCUACGGGAGCCGAAACACAGGUGGUGC